AUUGAACGCUGGCGGCAUGCCUUACACAUGCAAGUCGAACGGCAGCACGGGGGCAACCCUGGUGGCGAGUGGCGAACGGGUGAGUAAUGCAUCGGAACGUGCCCAGUAGUGGGGGAGUAACUAGUCGAAAGAUUAGCUAAUACCGCAUACGACCUACGGGUGAAAGCGGGGAUUCGCAAGAACCUCGCGCUAUCGGAGCGGCCGAUGUCUGAUUAGCUAGUUGGCGGGGAAAAGCCCACCAAGGCUUCGAUCAGUAGCUGGUCUGAGAGGACGACCAGCCACACUGGGACUGAGACACGGCCCAGACUCCUACGGGAGGCAGCAGUGGGGAAUUUUGGACAAUGGGCGCAAGCCUGAUCCAGCCAUGCCGCGUGCGGGAAGAAGCUC
rnacentral:rRNA from 1 species